GACGAACGCUGGCGGCGUGCCUAAUACAUGCAAGUUGAGCGCUGAAGGUUGGUACUUGUACCAACUGGAUGAGCAGCGAACGGGUGAGUAACGCGUGGGGAAUCUGCCUUUGAGCGGGGGACAACAUUUGGAAACGAAUGCUAAUACCGCAUAAAAACUUUAAACACAAGUUUUAAGUUUGAAAGAUGCAAUUGCAUCACUCAAAGAUGAUCCCGCGUUGUAUUAGCUAGUUGGUGAGGUAAAGGCUCACCAAGGCGAUGAUACAUAGCCGACCUGAGAGGGUGAUCGGCCACAUUGGGACUGAGACACGGCCCAACCUCCUACGGGAGGCAGCAGUAGGGAAUCUUCGGCAAUGGACGAAAGUCUGACCGAGCAACGCCGCGUGAAUGAAGAAGGGUUUCGGAUCGUAAAACUCUGUUGGUAGAGAAGAACGUUGGUGAGAGUGGAAAGCUCAUCAAGUGACGGUAACUACCCAGAAAGGGACGGCUAACUACGUG
rnacentral:rRNA from 1 species